GACGAACGCUGGCGGCGUGCCUAAUACAUGCAAGUCGAACGGUUCUUUCUUUUGGAAGCUUGCUUCCGAUCGAGAGAAUAGUGGCGAACGGGUGAGUAACACGUGGGUAACCUGCCCAUAAGAGGGGGAUAACAUCCGGAAACGGGUGCUAAUACCGCAUAGUUUUUUUGAUCGCAUGAUCGAGAAAGGAAAGACGGCCUUUGUGCUGUCGCUUAUGGAUGGACCCGCGGCGUAUUAGUUAGUUGGUGAGGUAAUGGCUCACCAAGACGAUGAUACGUAGCCGACCUGAGAGGGUGAUCGGCCACAUUGGGACUGAGACACGGCCCAAACUCCUACGGGAGGCAGCAGUAGGGAAUCUUCCGCAAUGGACGAAAGUCUGACGGAGCAACGCCGCGUGAGUGAAGAAGGUUUUCGGAUCGUAAAACUCUGUUGUCAGAGAAGAACAAGUCGGAGAGUAACUGCUCCGGCCUUGACGGUAUCUGACCAGAAAGCCACGGCUAACUACGUGCCAGCAGCCGCGGUAAUACGUAGGUGGCAAGCGUUGUCCGGAUUUAUUGGGCGUAAAGCGAGCGCAGGCGGUUCCUUAAGUCUGAUGUGAAAGCCCACGGCUCAACCGUGGAAGGUCAUUGGAAACUGGGGAACUUGAGUGCAGAAGAGGAGAGUGGAAUUCCAUGUGUAGCGGUGAAAUGCGUAGAUAUAUGGAGGAACACCAGUGGCGAAGGCGACUCUCUGGUCUGUAACUGACGCUGANGCUCGAAAGCGUGGGGAGCAAACAGGAUUAGAUACCCUGGUAGUCCACGCCGUAAACGAUGAGUGCUAAGUGUUGGGAGGGUUUCCACCCUUCAGUGCUGCAGCUAACGCAUUAAGCACUCCGCCUGGGGAGUACGGGCCGCAAGGCUGAAACUCAAAGGAAUUGACGGGGACCNGCACAAGCGGNGG
rnacentral:rRNA from 1 species